UCUAGAAAAGAGACUAUAGAGAUCCUUUGGACUAUCCUCUUAUUUCAGAUGAGAAAAUAGGAGCCCAGAAAAGCAAACUUAACUGAUUUGUUCAACUUAAGUCACAGGGCUUAGAUUUGUGGCCAGGUCCCUUAGCUCCAAAACCAAAGGUCUCAUCACUACACCUACUACACCAAACUGCCUCUCUCUUAAUCUUUUAAGAAAAAACAAUCCUGUUUCCAAGACUAGCUUCCUCCCCCCCCCCACCCCCCUUUUCUGCAUCAGCCUUCUGAUGUUGUUUCUUGUUCAGUCAUGUCCAACUCUUCAUGACCCCAUUUGGAAUUUUCUUGGCAAAGAUAUUGAAGUGGUUUGCCAUUUCCUCAUUCAGCUCAUUUUACAGAUGAGGAAACCAAGGCAGACAGAGGUUAAGUGACUUGCCCAGGAUUACUCUGCUACUGAGAUUGGGCUUGAAUUCAGGAAAAUGAGUCUUCUGGACUCCAGGCCUUUGUACUCCUACCAACGUGCCACCUAGCUGUCCAUCACCCUCUUCCUCUGACAGUGAACAGGAAAUUACAAAUGAUCCUUAUCUAUUCAUUAAAGGAGCCCCAGUAGGAUUGCUACUUGCAAACACCUCUCAGACCACUUCCAAUUCCCGGCUGCCCCUGAACAUAUAACAACUACCCUUUAAAAAACAUGUUCUCUAAGUUAGACCUUAGUCAUCUUGGCCUUCCCUGCCCCCAUCAUCAACUGGUUUGAAUUAUGGACCGUUGCCUGGAUCUUUUUUUAAGGGGGGAAAAAAGGCAACAAGAACUCGGGGCCAUGGGGGAGGCCUCCAAGAAUCACACCGAGGAGACUCGGAUAAAGGCAGUGUUCACCCCGGAUUCCUCUUCUUCGCAUGGGGAAGGGUGCCCGCCGACCCCCACCGCCAAGAGGGAACUGGGGAAGAAAGAAGCAAAUCCAGCAGCUGCUGCAAACAUCUCAGCACCGCCAAAGGGAUGAUGGGGAUCCUGGGAGGGAAGGGGGAGGAGGGAGGAGAGAGGACGCGGAGGGAACCUUUCCAAGCACAACAUAAAAGGUCUCGCCUGACGACUCUGGAUUUCCUCUUUGGUACUUUCAAAGAACGUGUCUCUGGUUCUGUUUGGCUCGGCGACCAGCGGCGGUGGGGUGUGGCUGUGGGCUCCUUUUCCCUCUUCACAGUAACUCUAUUGUUUCAGACUGCAGCCAAUUUAUGGAAAGAGAUGUUGGAAAAAGGAGAAGAGACGGAGACAGACGCGCAUAGACAUGGAGAGAGAUAGAAGGAGCAGAGGAGAACCACUGUCUCUGCCCUCAGAAAGCUCCCAGUCUGGCGAGGAAGGAGAGUAUAUUUCUAGCCCCACAAGCUCCAAGGCUAUAUAUUGUAUCACAGGGUGAUAAAAUUUGGGGCAAAAAGAUCUUGGAGAUCAUCCACAAGGGUUUCUGAGUCUUCCUUGUGUCAUGGUCCCCAUUGGAAGUCCAGGGAAGUCUUGGGAUCCCUUUUUGGAAUCGUGUUUUUAAAUAAAUGAAAUACAGUGGAUGGCA
rnacentral:lncRNA from 1 species